GGUAGCUUGCUACCAGGCGUCGAGCGGCGGACGGGUGAGUAACGCGUAGGAAUCUACCUAAUAGAGGGGGAUAGCCCGGGGAAACUCGGAUUAAUACCGCAUACGCCCUACGGGGGAAAGCAGGGGAUCUUCGGACCUUGCGCUAUUAGAUGAGCCUGCGUCGGAUUAGCUAGUUGGUGAGGUAAAGGCUCACCAAGGCGACGAUCCGUAGCUGGUCUGAGAGGAUGAUCAGCCACACUGGAACUGAGACACGGUCCAGACUCCUACGGGAGGCAGCAGUGGGGAAUAUUGGACAAUGGGGGCAACCCUGAUCCAGCCAUGCCGCGUGUGUGAAGAAGGCCUUCGGGUUGUAAAGCACUUUCAGUAGGGAGGAAGGCUCGAUUGCUAAUAUCGAUCGGGAUUGACGUUACCUACAGAAGCAGCACCGGCUAACUUCGUGCCAGCAGCCGCGGUAAUACGAAGGGUGCAAGCGUUAAUCGGAAUUACUGGGCGUAAAGCGCGCGUAGGCGGUUUAGUAAGUGUGAUGUGAAAGCCCCGGGCUCAACCUGGGAACUGCAUCACAUACUGCUAGGCUAGAGUACGGUAGAGGGGGGUAGAAUUCCACGUGUAGCGGUGAAAUGCGUAGAGAUGUGGA
rnacentral:rRNA from 1 species